UUUUUUAUAGACGAAAUAUAAAUUAGUGACAAUUAUAAAAGAACGAAGAAUGAAAAAAAGUACGUUUAUAUAUAUAUUACACAUUACAUAUUUAACAUAGAGUUAAUCAUAAGUAGACUCAACCGCUAACUCAUCGACCGAAAAUGAUUGAUGUCUUUAAAAAUUCGAUCAAGAAUUGAAUUUAACCAUAUUUUUCAUGGUAAAUAUUUCCAUUCAAUUUUUACUAUCAUAUGUAAUUUUUGAUGUGAUUAACCAUAACCGUACCAAUUCCACCUUCUUUGACCAUUUUGAUCAAGUAACCACCAAAACCAAAAGUCCAAAACGCAACCAAACACCGUCGUACCGCCAACAACAAAAAAGCCAGUCCACCGAAGGAAGCUAACAGGCAACACCCCCGAGAAAACAAAUCCACCGCGUCGCCGCCGCUGUCAGUCACCACCACGUUUAAAUAAUUCAACUUUCCAUCCCAACUCUGUUAGCAAUCAUUGACUACCCGUCCAAUUAAUAAACCCACCAAACCAAACCAAAAAACCUCCUCUAAAUUCUAACAUCCUCUGUGUUUUUCCAACUUGCACUGCUUUUUUUCCGAUGGAGUUUUUCAACAAGGCCAAAGCAGUCCGCCUCCGCAGCCACCACGAGAAGUACCUCCUCGCUCACGACGACG
rnacentral:lncRNA from 1 species